UUGGGUAUGUCUAAACUAAAGGAGUUGUAAGUGACCCUACAAUAUGUAAUUUUGGCCAUGUCAAGAUUGUCUCAACUAAUGACUGAACUUUAUCUUGUCAUUUUGCAGCUUGGAUUUUCCAUUAAGCUUGGUGAAGUAUAUUACGUUAGUGGACGAAUAGAAUACCAUGGAUGUCUUUGCUAUUUUGGAGGCAAUUCUUUUUGUGGGUUCACCUGUUGUGAUUAUCUAUAUGAGACAUGCAUAGUAUUUUGGUAGAUCCAAUUGUUUCAGAAAAAGGAUAUUUUGGCAGUAUUUCUUCAGCUCCAUUGAAUAGAAUUGCCUUUGUGGAGCGCAUCUUGGAAGAGGUGGAGGCGUGAGGAUCGAGCCGGAUGGGGUGGCCGCUGUGGCGCGCGGGCGAAGGAGGAGCUCAAGGAGCACAUCCCAGAAGAGAGCGUCGGCGGUGGCACGCCAAUCGACUCCAUCGCAUCCUGGGCCUUGAGAUCUUCUCCGGCGGUGGGGAUAGGAACUGCUUGCAGCCAUCGUCAAGGAAGCUGCACAAUAUGAUGGUGGUGGAUCCCGCAAGACCAGGGGAGUUUCCAUGGCAAGAAACAUGGUCAAUGACUCCAGGGUGACGUGGAGCUCCAGGCCAAGGUAACAAGCAAAUUCUUCUUCGAGGUUGAGAUCGGUGGGGAGCGCGUGGGCAAGGUGGUCAUCGGGCUCUUCGGCGAGGUCGUCCCAAAGACGGUUGACAACUUCCAUGCCCUGUGCACUGGUAUAUCAGGCUAAUCAAUACUAUGCAAAUUAGCUCUCCCCAGGCCCCAAUUUUGAGAGCAAAUCCAUUCCUUAUGUCAGUAAGUGUGUCCAGUAGUAUGUAUCUGGACUCAUGCAUCGUUUCUCUCUGUUUUGGUUGGGGCAGGAGAAAAAGGGUAUGUAUACAAGGGCUGCUUCUUCCACCAAGUCAUCAAAGGAUUUCAUGAUUCAGGGUGGGGAUUUUGCAGGAAAACAAUGUUUGAAGAGCAUUAGUGGCCUCUGUUCAACCUUUUCUCUUCAUCUAUUCGGCAGCUGUUGUUGGUGGACAACGGUGGCCUCAGGUGGUGCAUGGUGGGUCCUGUCAAGUCACCGAUACGAUUUCUCCCAUGCAGGUGACCGGCGGCUGGGCAACACCGUGGCCAUUGAGCCGAAGGUGGCUGAGCACCAGAGCUCCCAGCUUAGGAAGACGACGCGACGGGAUGACGCAGCACCACGGCCUUCAGCACCCUUGCCGUUAGCAGCUCGCCCCUGUCAUAAGUCCUCUCGUGACCUGUUGGUUCUUCUGCUCCAGGACGAGAUGGUCAUCUUGCUAGGUUUCAGAGCCCUGUGGGCCUCUUCGCCGCUCGUCCUCGUCACCCUCUCUGCACCAACAUCUCGCUUCCUUCUUGCUUCCAGUCAGGAUGGGGGCUUCUAUUUAGGAGGCGCUCAUGGUACCAGGUCUCCAUAGACCUGGCCGUUUCAGAAUGGGAACAAAGUAAUAACGCUCCUUAUGAAAAAAAACACAUAAUAUUGCUUUGGGUCAUGUUAUAGCCACAUUUGUGUUAUGGCCAAAACAUACCAUUUCUUUGUACAAGCUUCAUUUCCAUCAUAAAAAACUACUUGUUUGGUAUGAAAAUGAAACCAUAAGCAGUAUAUCUCUCGACGGGUGAAAUUUGGCAAAUGUAGCAAUUUCCUUGGUCGUCCAAAAUUUGUUCUUGGUGGUUGUGUAAUGAUGUUUAUUAAACUAUGGGAAAGAUAAAUACAACAUUGCAUUUUUAAAGAAA